UUGAAUCAAUCCCCAAUUCAGAUACGGAAACACCAUGUUGGACUGAGUGCCGCAAGGGCUUGCGAGCUCGCCGACGCGGAGCUCCUCUUGCACCCCACCCCCACACCUUCGCUGUCGAUCGCUGCCGGCGCAUAUCUUCCUCCUCUACCUCAGGUCGAUCUGAGCAGAAGCAGAGCAGAUCGCUGCCCCGUUGUCUAUUCCGACCAACUCCGACUGCCGCUCGUCGAUUCCUCCCGCGAGCACCUCUCCGAGCCCAGCUGAAGCAACCCUUGCCCCCGCCAUCAGGAGCUCUACCGCCGGCCACCUCAGAAUCAUUGAUUUCGCCUUGGUCGCCGAGGCCCUACGCUACAUCAUCAAGCUUCUACGCCGUCGGUGCCGAGAUCCACAAGCGCUCCCCCACCAGGCCCAUUCUCUGCUGCCGACUGAGCGCUGAUUCCGUCACCGAGGCCCCCUCAAUCGCUCCUCGCUAAGCCCCUACAUCCCCUCGAGUGAGACCUACACAUCGUUGCAGCCAUCAUGGACAAGAGUUGGAUGAAAGCACCUAGGUGGUCAGUAGAGUAUGAUGAAGGCUUUUGAAACUUUAUAGAACUUGCUCUUUCAACAUCAGCGCAACAGAAUAAGAUACUUUGUCCCUGCAGGAGUUGCGGAAAUAAUUACUGGUUAGAGGCGAGAGAUAUUCGAGAUCAUUUAAUAUCUGUGGGUUUCAUGGAUGGAUAUACAUCAUGGAUUCUUCAUGGAGAAGGCACGUGGUCAUCUGUGCCAAAUGUUUCCUCGAGCUCACAAUCUGAAGAAGGGCAUGCUGAGGGUGAUGCGAUGGACCAGAUGCUAAUGGAGGGGUUUGGCAUGUAUGAUGCUGGUGCUUUAGGGGUAGAUGAGGAAUGUGAGGAUGAACUAGAUGUUGAUGCAGAAGCAUACUACAAGUUAGUCAGUGAUGGGAGUCAACAAUUGUAUCCAUGCUGCAAGAGAUUCUCGAAGCUGCAAUUUCUUGUCAGGCUCCUGCACCUGAAGAAUCUAUGGGGGAUCAGUAAUGGAUGCUUUGAUGACCUUCUAUCUUUAAUUAAGGAGGCACUUCCAGAGGGUGCGUUGUUGCCAAAGAACUUCCAUGAGGCCAAAAAAUUCGUGAAGGCUAUUGGAAUUGGUUAUAAGUGCAUUGACGCUUGCAUUAAUGACUGCAUAUUGUUUAGGAAAGAAUAUGCCAAUGCCAAGUUCUGUCCAGUGUGUAAAUCAAGCAGGUGGAAGAGGUGGAGUCGAUGGAAGACGUGUCCAUAGAGUACCUGCAAAGGCUGUUCGCCAUUUUCCAUUGAAGAAGAGGCUCCAAAGAUUGUUCAUGUCUUCGAAGACAGCAUGUGACAUGAGGUGGCAUAGCGAAGGCCGCACAAAAGAUGGCCUGCUACAGCAUCCAGCAGAUUCUCCGGUGUGGAAGAAUUUUGAUGCUACGCACUUAGAGUUUAGUUCAGAGGUUCGCAAUGUGAGGCUUGGUUUGGCAACAGAUGGUUUCAACCCUUUUGGGAACAUGAAUGUGACUUAUAGCAUAUGGCUUAUCAUUUUGAUUCCAUACAAUGUUCCUCCUUGGGUCUGCAUGAAGCAAUC